rnacentral:rRNA from 1 species
GACAGAGGAUGCAAGCGUUAUCCGGAAUGAUUGGGCGUAAAGCGUCUGUAGGUGGCUUUUCAAGUCCGCCGUCAAAUCCCAGGGCUCAACCCUGGACAGGCGGUGGAAACUACCAAGCUGGAGUACGGUAGGGGCAGAGGGAAUUUCCGGUGGAGCGGUGAAAUGCGUAGAGGUCCGGAGGAACACCAGUGGCGAAGGCGACACGCUGGGUCAUACCUGACGCUAAAACGCGACAGCAUGGGGAGCGAACGGG